rnacentral:rRNA from 1 species
CCGGCGCGACGGGUGGUAACACGUAUGCAACCUGCCUGCCACAGCCGGAUAAUCGGGAGAAAUUCCGUCUAAUACGGCAUAAUGCAUCGACGGGACAUCCUGUUGGUGCCAAAGGUUAAUUCCGGUGGCGGAUGGGCAUGCGUCGCAUUAGUUAGUUGGCGGUGUAACGGACCACCAAGACGACGAUGCGUAGGGGUUCUGAGAGGAAGGUCCCCCACACUGGUACUGAGACACGGACCAGACUCCUACGGGAGGCAGCAG